rnacentral:rRNA from 1 species
UACGAAGGGGGCUAGCGUUGCUCGGAAUCACUGGGCGUAAAGGGUGCGUAGGCGGGUCUUUAAGUCAGGGGUGAAAUCCUGGAGCCUCAACUCCAGAACUGCCUUUGAUACUGAAGAUCUUGAGUUCGGGAGAGGUGAGUGGAACUGCCGAGUGUAGAGGUGAAAUUCGUAGAUAUUCCGCAAGAACACCAGUGGCGAAGGCGGCUCACUGGCCCGAUACUGACGCUGAGGCACGAAAGCGUGGGGAGCGAACAGG